CUCGGGAGUAUUCUCCUCAGGCAGGAGAAUGGCGUGAACCUGGGAGGCGGAGCUUGCAGUGAGCCAAGAUCGCGCCACCGCACUCCAGCCUGGGCCAAAGCACGAGACUCCGUCUUAAAAAAAAAAAAAAAAAAGGCUGCUGGGUUUGAUCAAGGUUGUUGAGAGGAGUUUAAAUUCAAUAGUGAUGGGAGGCAGAAGCCAAAAUUCCUUCAAAAAAGGAAUCAGUGAGAGGUGGGGAAAAUGGAGAAUGAUUUUUUCAUUUUGUCUUGUAAACAGAAAGUUAUCCAGUUUUGAAAGCAAUGGUAUAGGGAAAGAUGAAAGGUUGAGACUUUUCUUUAGUCCAUUCACAUAUUUAAUAUUUUCCAUUACACAGCACAGAGUAUAUGAACUCAAAAGAUAGACUGCCCAGGUUUGGAUACUGGAGAGACCACUUGCAACAUUUGUAAAUCCUCAUUAAUUUAUACAACCUUCUGUUCCAUUGUUUCCUCAUCUGUAGCAGAGUUAUGAAGAUUAAAUUAGACAAUGUGUGAUAAAUGACACACAGUGCCUAUCACAAAGCUCAACAAAAUCACCUACAGUUAUUAAUGUCACUGUGUCAGGCACCAAAAGAGAAAGUUCCCUUUUGUCUCUAAAGUUAAUUUCAAGUUGCUAUGUAUAGGAAAAGAGUGGUCCCAUUUCUGUAAGUAAACUCCAUACAUAGGAUACAUUUCUAACAAUCCACCAUUUACUUUUAUAAAAAUUCAAUAACAUUAAAAAGGAGAAAUUUUGUUUGAAGACUAAAGUCCCAUUACAGAUUUUUCACUUAUGAACAAAGAAAGCAGUUUCAAAGAAAAAUGGCACAGUUUGAAAGAUAUUUACCCAAGAUGAGUUAAAAUAUUCUGUAACUAUAAAAGAUUAGAUAAAAUAAUAAUGAAUAUGGAAAUAG
rnacentral:lncRNA from 10 species